rnacentral:rRNA from 1 species
UACGGAGGGUGCAAGCGUUAUCCGGAUUCACUGGGUUUAAAGGGUGCGUAGGCGGGCAUUUAAGUCAGUGGUGAAAUACCUGAGCUUAACUUGGGAACUGCCAUUGAUACUAUUUGUCUUGAAUGUCGUGGAGGUUAGCGGAAUAUGCCAUGUAGCGGUGAAAUGCUUAGAUAUGACAUAGAACACCUAUUGCGAAGGCAGCUAACUACGCGAAUAUUGACGCUGAGGCACGAAAGCGUGGGGAUCAAACAGG